AUUAGAUACCCUGCUAUACUUAGAUUAAAAGUUUUAUACCUGGGUAGUAAACAGUUAUUUUCUCGAAACCCAAAGAGUUUGGCGGUAUCUCAGCCUAGUUAGAGGAGCUUGUUCGGUAAACGAUAAUCCCCGAAGAAUCUUACUUAUCCUUGUAAACAGUUUAUAUACCGUCGUUAUUAGAUAAUACCAAAAGGUGAAAAAUUAUCUUAAUAUAAGAAAAAUGAUACAUAAUAUAUCAGAUCAAGGUGUAACUUAUGGAUGAGAGUUGAAUGAGCUACAAUUUAAAAUAUAAACACGAAAAAUGAUUUUAAAUAAUCGGUGGAAGGUGGAUUUAAUUGUAAUUUUGAGUUUAAUAAGCUAAAAUGAUAAUAGCUCUGAGAUAUGUACACAUCGCCCGUCG
rnacentral:rRNA from 1 species